rnacentral:rRNA from 1 species
CCUACGGGGGGCAGCAGUGGGGAAUAUUGCACAAUGGGGGAAACCCUGAUGCAGCGACGCCGCGUGAGUGAAGAAGUAUUUCGGUAUUUAAAGCUCUAUCAGCAGGGAAGAAAAUGACGGUACCCGAUUAAGAAGCCCCGGCUAACUCCGUGCCAGCAGCCGCGGUAAUACGUAGGGGGCAAGCGUUAUCCGGAUUUACUGGGUGUAAAGGGGGCGUAGGCGGCAGGACAAGUCUGGAGUGAAAUGCCGGGGCUUAACCCCGGAACUGCUUUUGAAACUGUGCGGCUAGAGUGCAGGAGAGGUAAGUGGAAUGCCUGGUGUAGCGGUGAAAUGCGUAGAUAUUAGGAGGAACACCAGUGGCGAAGGCGGCUUACUGGACUACUACUGACGUUGAGGCACGAAAGCGUGGGGAGCAAACAGGAUUAGAUACCCGUGUAGUC